CUCGCAACAGGUAGUGCGUACGGGGACCGCCUGCGAAACGAGACACUCGCUCCUCACGCCUACCGUGCGGCCAGACCAGAUUUACUUUUUUCAUGAAAAUUUAGUUCGGAUGCGCUAUUUGCGUAUGGAUGGAUGUCACUGGGAUGGGGGUCCGGAAAUAAUUGCAACUGUCGAAUGCGUAGGUAUGUAACUAUUACUAGAGAAGAUGGAACAAGAACUGAGGAAGUAGCGGGGAUGACACCUUUGGAAGUGGAAUACCUGGUUCUUCACACCUGUAGUGAAUAUGAGAUGAAUCCUGAUCGUUCUGACUCAAGGUCUGGAGGUAGCUUUGCAGAUGCCCGAAAACCGUGAGUCAUUCGCAGAUAACGUAGGUUGGUCAUCCAACAACCGAAAUAGAGUCAUAACUGUUAUUAGGUACAUCGGUUCUGAGUAUAUCGGUUGCAGUUCUGGUACCAGUUCUUCGGAACUGAUAUUAUAUUUAUGACUGUUAUUUUUUGCUUCUGUUUUUCUUUUAGAACCUAAAAAUAACAGUUGUAGAACCGAUACAAAAUCGGUAAUACCGAUCCUGAAGAACCGGAACCAAAAGGGAUGUAGCUCAGAACGGAUACACCCAAUAACAGUUAUGACUUUAUUUCGGUACUUCAUACUGUUUCAAAAACCGGAACCAACAUCGAAACUGUUGUCAAAUCCUGUACCUACCAAUCCGAGAUGGGACAGGAUUUUUCUUUUGAGGAUGGUAUUGAAUGACCAACUUUGGUAUCUUAUCUGUGACGCGCCGCGUAUCUUAGUGACUCAGUAUGAUUUUGUAUUUUUUUUUGUUUUGUUAACACUAGGACUAUUGAAUAGUGAUAUUCACUUACAUUUUCUUGUAUAAAUUGUGCAAGUGCAUUUAUUGAAAUUAACAUUCACUUAUUGUAUAUUACAAUUGCGAUGGAAUUUAUUUAAUAGUUUUUUUUAAACGUCUAUAUCUUCUGAAUAAUUGGAAAGGAAGACUUUAUUGGACAUUGUAGAGUUAAUUAUAUAUGCGUGUAUGUAAGGAGUCGUGUAUAGUAUGCUAGAUGCUCAGAAAAAUCGAGUGUUCCCUUAAAAUGAUCGAUGCAGACUUUAAGGCUGGUACACCUGAGAUUUUGACUCCAAUGAUCUACGUAUGUACGUGGUAAUACUUUCACAAAUGAGAAUUAAUGAGAUUGGUCAUCACUUGUGUAUGGUAUUAUGUUUCAAGAUUACUCGAAAUGAAUUGAAACAGAUGUUGAGAUAAAAAUUGGCCGAAGUCUUUAAGUACACUCGUAUUCAUAAAUCUUUGCUGUGGUUCAAAAAUAAACUCCAUAACACAUUAAUUAACCUUUUGCUCUUGAACAUUUUAAUAUUACAUUUAAAAUGUCCUCUCUGCGAGGACUUCCGAGUGCAAAGGAAUAAUAUUAUGUGCAGGGUAAUUUUAAUGAAAAAAAGUAAUUCGAAAAUAAUUGUA